UUACACUCCAUGUGUACAACCAAACCCCGUAAUUGUAGUAUGUCUGCUACAGCUAAUGCUCCGGACACAGCUCUCCGCUGAAACAAUCUUAUCUUGAUUUUUCUAUCAAAGUAUACUUUAUUUUGUAUAAAAUUAUUAUUUUAGACAAGUUGAUUUAAUAUAUUUUAACCACAAAUCUAACACUAUAAUUUUAAAUCUUUACAUAUAUAUCUCUUAGUAAAUACAAGUUUCAAAUAUAUAAAACUGUUUAUUUUAUCUUAAUUUUAUGUAUAAUUAAAUCAAAAUUUAUAUUAAAUAUUGGUAAGCAAGUGAUAAAAUCUAAAAAAUUAAUUAACAAAAUUUUAUUAUAAAAUGUAAUUUAAAAUUUAAUGUUUUUGUUACUGCCCACCACCCAUAAUAAUUUCACAACGCAUUUAACCACCAGGACACAAGACUCUUUGUAUAUCCCACACGGCUUAAAAUAAUAUAGGCAACAGGCUUUGAACAAUAAUAUUAGGCAACAGGCUUUGAACAAUUGAUCAAUCAAAAGAUACAAGAUUUUUUCUGUUGCUUCACUGUUUCUCCAAGCAAAAGUUUUCCUGAAAUAUAUAACAAACGACAUGACACAGUAACAAUUAUGACAUGGUUUAUGGCUAAUUAUGACAUGGAUAAUUAUAUUUAAUGUUGAUUUAUAUUUGGUAAAAUUUUUAGAAUAUGGUAAUAACUCAUACAUAUCAUCAUUAAAGUAAAUAUAUUUAAAUAUAACAAUAAAUAUUAUACUGAUAUAAAUAGAGCAAGAUUUUCAAAUUAUGGAAGUAUUAUUUAAUUCUAUUUUUAAUAAUUAUACAAUUUUUAUUACUAAAACAUUUCUUCAAAAUUUUAUGCAUUUUUUUCAAAACAUAUAUAAAUUUUUUUAUCCUAAUACAAAUGGUUUACUUUUGAUAUCUGUAAAUUUUAGGAAAACUUGAUAAAAUUAAUUUAAUUGCAAAAUCUAUAUAUAUAUAAAGAUGUUUGUGUCUCUCCUGAGAGAGCCACGUCAUCAAUUAGUGCAACCUGAACUCGACACGUGCAAAAUCAUUUAAAAUCACAUCUCUUUCUGUGUUUACGAUUGGGCCUUGAUGAUAUUUUUUUGUUGAUACUGUCUGGGCCAAGUUACAAACAGAAUGCAAACCUGUUUAUUGCACGCUCUUCUUCCUGACUCGCGAAGUUAGGGUUGAUAGGGUUAGCCGUCAGCUGUGAAGGUUUGUUCUGUAAGCCAUCAAUGGCGAUUGUGAAAUAGGUGUGGGGUUCGUCGUUUCGUCUGCAAACUUCGAGUCGGUGAUUGUUCAUAUCGUGUCUGUUUUCAUCCUUCUCAUCCCAACCGUUACAAAUCGAAUUGAUUCAACGCCAAUAACUAAAGCUUUACUCUUCUUGCCCACUACAACCACGAUCUCGCAUUCAGUGCAUCUAAUCUUCAUUUAGGCGGUGAUUCUCACCUAUAAAAAGGCGACUCUCAUACCCGCCACCGUUAAUGUCCACCGUCUGUCUACUUUCAGACAUCGGCUCACUGCAGGUUCCAUGUUCUCUGUCAGCGGAUUUGAUGUUACUCGGUGCAACCAGAACUUCAAGACUGGCCGGCCGCGGAUUUGUUGUUCUCAUCUAUAUCUUACUCGCUGAUUUGAAGGAAGGCUGGCCGGAGAUGGGUUCUUCCUCUGUUUUGGACAGGAAAAUCUGAGGAUUCAGAGGUGCUCGAGACCAAAGGGUAUCUCCUAAUCAUUGUCUUCCUGACUAUAUCACUUUGCCAGAGAUAGGUUCUUCUUCUGUUUGGAGAGGAGAAACUGAGGAUUUAAAGGUGUAAAAUCUUUGGAGACUCCAGGAAAAAGCACAAACAGAAUCAUGGCGCUUUCCAUUUUAGACAGAAAAUGAAUGAAAUGAGAGAGAAUGUCAUUUACAAUAACAGGAACGCAUCAGUUUUCCUAUUCUCUUAGUCUGUGUGUGCAUAUCGUUUAUUCCUCAAUGCCACAUCAGUGACACACGUCCCACACUAUAAACACACCAAAUGCAGGCUCCGUAGAGCAGAUAGUGGUUCCCCUGCCACAUCUUCCAAGUAUGGUGGUGUUAAGAAAACUGAUCCCGUCGCACUCUCUGAACUUAAUAGCUACAUUCUCAAUUCACCCCAAGGUACGUUCACUGAAUAGGGAUCACUGUAAUGACUGCACUUAGCUAUGUGCUCCUGUGUACUUUCAUAACAUGACCAAAUACAUGUGUUGUUUGCGUUGUCUCUCCUUUUUCAUGCUGCACACAAUUAACUCUUAUCAAAACGUCUCUUAUUUGAAAGUAAGAGAUUUUUUGUUGCUGGCUUUCUGCAUUUGCUCAUUUAUCUAAGCUACACAUUUGAAAAGUUAUAGUAACUGUGGAGUUGCUUAUGAUGGCUGGAGCUGUAAUUACUUUCUAUGGUUCCAAAUCCAGUGGUGAAACGCAAUGUUCGGAUCACACGAACGGCCAUCUGAUGAUGUUCCAGUUAUUGAAGGACUUCCAGCCAGCACCGACCCAGCGCCUGCACAUACUGAUUCAGUCAUAACCUCCACCGAGACUCCAUUGAUGAUGAAAAGGUCCCCAGUUCAAAUAAAGCUCGCAAAGAGUGAUCACUCAACUAUGGAGACUUGGAACUCGCAAAAUACAAUCGAGUUCCAUUGUUUGUUACAAAGUUCUAUGUUUUCCUUCAAUAAUGCUGUAAUCCACAUACUUAAAUAGCAGCAAGAUGUUCUUAUUUAAUCUUCAUUUUGUUAUUUGUUAGGAUUACUUAAUUUGAAUUAUAAAAAUCCUUAAAUAGGUCCCUCUGAA